rnacentral:misc_RNA from 1 species
AACUGGGUUGUUUAUCACUACUUCAAUCUCAGAGCACAUAGAUACGAAAUGUCAGUUGUUGAAAUCUACGAUCAGUCACGGGCGGAUAACAAAGAUGUUUGGAAGCUUAUACUCGGUAAACAUAAUUUGACGUCGCCCAUUUCUUCGUAUUCUCGUCCGGAGGUGGUAGUAAAAUCCCAGUCAUACUUUUUUACCCAUUCCGUGAAAGCAAUGGCAGUGACAGCAACAGCCAAGGGUAUAACAUCAAAACAGCUUCUGAUUGGUACAAUUGGAGAUCAGGUUUUGGCGCUAGAUA